rnacentral:rRNA from 1 species
AACGAACGCUGGCGGCAUGCCUAACACAUGCAAGUCGAACGAGACCUUCGGGUCUAGUGGCGCACGGGUGCGUAACGCGUGGGAACAUGCCCUUAGGUUCGGCAUAACUCCCCGAAAGGGGUGCUAAUACCGGCUAAUGUCUUCGGACCAAAGAUUUAUCGCCUUUGGAUGGGCCCGCGUUGGAUUAGCUAGUUGGUAGGGUAAAAGCCUCCCAAGGCGACGAUCCAUAGCUGGUCUGUGAGGAUGCUCAGCCACACUGGGACUGAGACACGGCCCAGACUCCUACGGGAGGCAGCAGUGGGGAAUAUUGGACAAUGGGCGGAGGCCUGAUGCAGCAAGGCCGGGUGAGUGAUGAAGGCCUUAGGGUUGUAAAGCUCUUUUACCCGGGAUGAUAAUGACAGUACCGGGAGAAUAAGCACCGGCUAACUCCGUG